rnacentral:rRNA from 1 species
UGGCUCAGGAUGAACGCUAGCUACAGGCUUAACACAUGCAAGUCGAGGGGCAGCAUUGGAGUAGCAAUACUCAGAUGGCGACCGGCGCACGGGUGAGUAACACGUAUCCAACCUGCCGCUUACUCGGGGAUAGCCUUUCGAAAGAAAGAUUAAUACCCGAUGGUAUAAAGAGUUCGCAUGUUCUCUUUAUUAAAGAAUUUCGGUAAGCGAUGGGGAUGCGUUCCAUUAGAUGGUUGGCGGGGUAACGGCCCACCAAGUCUACGAUGGAUAGGGGUUCUGAGAGGAAGGUCCCCCACAUUGGAACUGAGACACGGUCCAAACUCCUACGGGAGGCAGCAGUGAGGAAUAUUGGUCAAUGGACGAGAGUCUGAACCAGCCAAAAGUAGCGUGAAGGAUGACUGCCCUAUGGGUUGUAAACUUCUUUUAUAAGGGAAUAAAGUGAGGGACGUGUCCCUUUUUGUAUGUACCUUAUGAAUAAGGAUCGGCUAACUCCGUGCCAGCCGCGGC